CUCUCUCUCUAAACAUUUAAAACCCUAGCCCCUAUUAUGGUUUCUGUAAUUUCUUUCUGUGUACGAGGACUUUCUCUCUCUCUAAACAUUUAAAACCCUAGCCCCUAUUAUGGUUUCUGCAACUUCUUUCCGAGUACGAGGAAACCAACUCUUGUUCGUUUUUUUUUUCAAAUAACCUUUGCUUUCUUCAUUAAAGGGGUAUAUGUGCACAAUACAAUACUUU
rnacentral:lncRNA from 1 species